AUCACAAACCUAGAAAGUGAGUAAUAACUUGUGUUUUACUUCUUUGGGUUAGAUAUUUUCAUAACAUAUUCGGUUACCAGUGGACUAUAUUCACAAAACUUUUUGGAUGUCUGACUAGAAAAAUAGGUAUUAAAAUAAUUUAGUUAGGAGAUAUCUUUGUUCUAGAUGAAUUUUCUAGUGUUGGACGAUUAAGAAAGGCAAUGCGAAUUUUCAUUUCCAUGAUUUCAAUAGUGCCGAGAAACCUGAGCAGAAGAAAGUAUAUGAGAUUAAAUUUCUGACAUACCUGAAGUUGUACAUGCAUUACUGGACUUGCAAUCUUCAAGGGAUGAUACGUUGGGAACAUUUUAAAUGAAAAGUAGUGAUUUGACUUGGAAUUUUGCAAGCAGUUGAAAGUGAUCAAUAAUUAAACCGUUCGACAAGAAUUUCAAAUUUCGUUAAUGAAAUUACAACUGUAGAAUUAAUUUUCAGGCGGUCUUGUUGAGUUAGUUGUAAUUACUGGAAAAUAAUUUCUGUGUUGGCAUUUUGAACUGCAUAAUAUGUUUUCAUCCAAAUAAAUUAUCUCAAAUAUU